rnacentral:rRNA from 1 species
UACAGAGGUCCCAAGCGUUGUUCGGAUUCACUGGGCGUAAAGGGUGCGUAGGUGGUCGGGUAAGUCUGAUGUGAAAUCUCCGGGCCUAACCCGGAAACUGCAUCGGAUACUAUUCGGCUAGAGGGUUGGAGGGGGAACUGGAAUACUUGGUGUAGCAGUGAAAUGCGUAGAUAUCAAGUGGAACACCAGUGGCGAAGGCGAGUCCCUGGACAACUCCUGACACUGAGGCACGAAAGCUAGGGGAGCAAACAGG